AUUGAACGCUGGCAGCAUGCCUUACACAUGCAAGUCGAACGGUAGAAGGGGCAACCCUUUGAGAGUGGCGAACGGGUGAGUAAAGCAUCGGAACGUGCCCAGUAGUGGGGGAUAGCCCGGCGAAAGCCGGAUUAAUACCGCAUACGACCUACGGGUGAAAGCGGGGGACUCGCAAGAGCCUCGCGCUAUUGGAGCGGCCGAUGUCAGAUUAGGUAGUUGGUGGGGUAAAGGCCUACCGAGCCGACGAUCUGUAGCUGGUCUGAGAGGACGACCAGCCACACUGGGACUGAGACACGGCCCAGACUCCUACGGGAGGCAGCAGUGGGGAAUUUUGGACAAUGGACGAAAGUCUGAUCCAGCCAUGCCGCGUGCAGGAAGAAGGCCUUCGGGUUGUAAACUGCUUUUGUCAGGGAAGAAAUCUUCUGGGCUAAUACCCUGGGAGGAUGACGGUACCUGAAGAAUAAGCACCGGCUAACUACGUGCCAGCAGCCGCAGUAA
rnacentral:rRNA from 1 species